rnacentral:rRNA from 1 species
UACAGGGGGGGCAAGCGUUGUUCGGAAUUACUGGGCGUAAAGGGUCUGUAGGUGGCCAACUAAGUCAUACGUGAAAUCCCUCAGCUUAACUGGGGAACUGCGCCUGAUACUGGUUGGCUUGAGUGCAGGAGAGGAACGCGGAAUUCCAGGUGUAGCGGUGAAAUGCGUAGAUAUCUGGAGGAACACCGGUGGCGAAGGCGGCGUUCUGGACUGCAACUGACACUGAGAGACGAAAGCCAGGGGAGCAAACGGG